rnacentral:rRNA from 1 species
GACGAACGCUGGCGGCGUGCUUAACACAUGCAAGUCGAACGAAGAGCGAUGGAAGCUUGCUUCUAUCAAUCUUAGUGGCGAACGGGUGAGUAACGCGUAAUCAACCUGCCCUUCAGAGGGGGACAACAGUUGGAAACGACUGCUAAUACCGCAUACGAUCCAAUCACGGCAUCGAGACUGGAUGAAAGGUGGCCUCUAUUUAUAAGCUAUCGCUGAAGGAGGGGAUUGCGUCUGAUUAGCUAGUUGGAGGGGUAACGGCCCACCAAGGCGAUGAUCAGUAGCCGGUCUGAGAGGAUGAACGGCCACAUUGGGACUGAGACACGGCCCAGACUCCUACGGGAGGCAGCAGUGGGGAAUCUUCCGCAAUGGACGAAAGUCUGACGGAGCAACGCCGCGUGAGUGAUGACGGCCUUCGGGUUGUAAAGCUCUGUUAAUCGGGACGAAGGUUCUUGUGCAAAUAGUGCGAG